CCUACGGGCGGCAGCAGUGGGGAAUAUUGGACAAUGGGGGGGAACCCUGAUCCAGCCAUGCCGCGUGUGUGAAGAAGGCCCUCGGGUUGUAAAGCACUUUCAGUGAGGAAGAACGCCUGGUGGUUAAUACCCAUCAGGAAAGACAUCACUCACAGAAGAAGCACCGGCUAACUCCGUGCCAGCAGCCGCGGUAAUACGGAGGGUGCGAGCGUUAAUCGGAAUUACUGGGCGUAAAGCGCGCGUAGGUGGCUUGAUAAGCCGGUUGUGAAAGCCCCGGGCUCAACCUGGGAACGGCAUCCGGAACUGUCAAGCUAGAGUGCAGGAGAGGAAGGUAGAAUUCCCGGUGUAGCGGUGAAAUGCGUAGAGAUCGGGAGGAAUACCAGUGGCGAAGGCGGCCUUCUGGACUGACACUGACACUGAGGUGCGAAAGCGUGGGUAGCAAACAGGAUUAGAUACCCCAGUAGUC
rnacentral:rRNA from 1 species